rfam:Nitrososphaera viennensis EN76, complete genome.
GGGGCCAUAGUCUAGCUUGGAAGGAUGUCAGCCCGGGGCGCUGGAGGUCGUGGGUUCAAAUCCCACUGGCCCCA